CUCUGUGAAGCCUGAACUCCAGUAGGGCCCAAGCCAGCCAGCCAGGAAGGAGGAGGCAGCCAGAGAGGCCUCCACUGUUCUCUGCAGCAGAAGACCCCCUGCUGCCAGUUGGCCUAAUCAACCCCUGAAACUGAGUGAUCACGGGAAGCAGUGCAGAGAAAAUAAUUCGUGAGAACUGCCCCCACCCCAAAUGCUUGGGACAGCGUAAACCCCACUGAGACUCAUAUCAGCUGCUGGAACAAUGAAGGCUCUGAACAACUGCAAGGGCCCAGCUGUACACCAUGAAGCACACACACUUGUGUUCCUUUAUGCAGUGCCAAUGAGCAAUCCUGCUCAGGCAGCAAGCAAUGACAACUGGACAUUUCAGUCGUUAGGGCUGAGCUGCUUGGCUAGUAAUGUGUGUAUCCAUGUCCUGAAAUCGCCCACCCAUCUCAGCUUUCAGAUAAGAUCAAUGCAGAUAAUUAUUUGUACUCAUUGCAUCAGUUAACCCAAGCACCUCAGACAGCAGCCAGAGCUGUCUGAUUUGCAUCCUAGAAGUUCAGGUUCCUUGCAAACCAUCAAAACAGAAGGCUGAUGAAGCCGUUUCUACAAAUUAACAGAAGGGAGCAGAAUAUUUUUUGUUAAAACAGAACCCAUCAUCCCCAGCCAAAGAGGCCAAUAGUCAGGGAUUAGAGGAGCUGUCGUCCACAUCUUCAGGAGGGUGGAGGCUGAGCAGCCCUGCUUAAGGCUGACAUAUAAAAUGGAGAAGUCCUGUGUCCAUUCUUAGUGGAAAGAGCUUUAAAAAAAAAAAGAAUUCUGAAAGACACGUGAAAAUGAUUGUAAAUUAUUAUUAACAUUUAUGGUACCAUCAAGGUACAUAUUUAACUACAACCUGAUGCUUGCUAAACUUUGAACCAUUAAUUAAAAAUGAUCAUGGCAAGUUUUUGCAACAGAAUUAAGGUGUGGAUGAAAAGGUGCAUCAGAGUUGAAAGAUGCACUAAAAGACUUUGCUGAGCAUGCAUCUUCCUUGCAUGCAUCUUUCUCUGCAUUUAGGCUGGGUUUUGGAAGGGGAAAGGAUUGAAACAGAGCUGCACAUGUAUAAUUAAAAUAUAUAUUGACACACAUGCAAAAAAUAAUGCCUAUAACAUAUGUUUUUGUUUCUGGAAUUCUUGUGGCAGUCAGUGCACCUGUUCAGUGGCUUUCUAUAUACUCUACUUGCCCAGGUCCCAGGUCAUGGUCUGAGGAUACAUUAUACUGCCACUUUGCUGAAG